rnacentral:rRNA from 1 species
CGACGCUGGCGGCGUGCUUACACAUGCAAGUCGAACGAUGAUGGCCGUGCUUGCACGGCUGGAUUAGUGGCGAACGGGUGAGUAACACGUGAGUAACCUGCCCUCCACUUCGGGAUAACCUCGGGAAAUCGGGGCUAAUACCGGAUAUGAGCACCUACUGCAUGGUGGGUGUUGGAAAGUUUUUCGGUGGGGGAUGGACUCGCGGCCUAUCAGCUUGUUGGUGAGGUAGUGGCUCACCAAGGCGUUGACGGGUAGCCGGCCUGAGAGGGCGACCGGCCACACUGGGACUGAGACACGGCCCAGACUCCUACGGGAGGCAGCAGUGGGGAAUAUUGCACAAUGGGCGAAAGCCUGAUGCAGCGACGCCGCGUGAGGGAUGACGGCCUUCGGGUUGUAAACCUCUUUCAGCAGGGAAGAAGCGAGAGUGACGGUACCUGCAGAAGAAGCGCCGGCUAACUACGUGCCAGCAGCCGCGGUAAUACGUAGGGCGCAAGCGUUGUCCGGAAUUAUUGGGCGUAAAGAGCUUGUAGGUGGCUUGUCGCGUCUGCCGUGAAAACCCGAGGCUCAACCUCGGGCGUGCGGUGGGUACGGGCAGGCUAGAGUGUGGUAGGGGAGACUGGAACUCCUGGUGUAGCGGUGAAAUGCGCAGAUAUCAGGAAGAACACCGAUGGCGAAGGCAGGUCUCUGGGCCAUUACUGACACUGAGAAGCGAAAGCAUGGGGAGCGAACAGGAUUAGAUACCCUGGUAGUCCAUGCCGUAAACGUUGGGCACUAGGUGUGGGGGACAUUCCACGUUUUCCGCGCCGUAGCUAACGCAUUAAGUGCCCCGCCUGGGGAGUACGGCCGCAAGGCUAAAACUCAAAGGAAUUGACGGGGGCCCGCACAAGCGGCGGAGCAUGCGGAUUAAUUCGAUGCAACGCGAAGAACCUUACCAAAGGCUUGACAUGCACUGGACAGCUGCAGAGAUGUGGCCUUCUUUGGACUGGUGCACAGGUGGUGCAUGGU